UGACACAUUUUUGUAUAUCUGAAUAAGAAACAUCUUUGAGUCUUGUCGUUUGCUUAUUGUAAGGAAAGGUUGUAGAUACUGCCUCCCGUUAAAAAUGCUGAACAUUAUACAUUGUUUUAUGGAUGUCUCCUUCUGAACUCACAUACAUGCUUCAGUCAACAAGGGACUUUAGCAUUUGCGAGAGGCACUAAUCGUUCAAAGUCAUGUUGCUCGUUAAUUUGACAUCAUGACUAUAGUUCUCGUAAUUAGGCUCGCGCUUGAGUUGGUAACUUGACAUUUUCCUAUCGUUUGUUCUAUGAUGAGUCCUGUACUGUCAAGCCCGUAAUCCGCCGUCAAAGGCUCGCCCACCAUGAGGCAGUAAACCUGCGUCCGCCGUCCCGGCCAUGUUUGACCCCGCGUCCAUGGCACGUGCGUGUACCUGUUAUGUAGGUUUGUCUUUUAAGCCAACAGACACUUCCCGGGGCUUCGAUGACGGUUGUCUUUACCGGUAAGAGUAUUUUUAAGGCUAACCCUUGAGGUGAUUUAGCUUAUGAUACAGUCGUUCGUGUUGCUAGGUACAAACAGGUGUACACUGGCUGGCGCCAGCCAGCAGUGACCUGGCAGCUCGUGGAAAACUUAAGGAGAAGGAGAAGACAAUGGUUGCACACUAAGACAAACGAGCGUAUACGGGCGAGAUUGUAGGAAGUGCCAUCGGUCAUUACUUUGCAGUCAUAGUUGACCAGGAGUACGCCAUUUUCCAUUUCAGUCGAGUCAUCGUCGCCAGUGUUAAUUUUUAUCUUAUCAAGCAAGGUGCUGUUGGCUUGGUCCUAAUUACCUACAGCGCGCUUAGGAAGAGAGCAACAGAAUAUGAUCCUGUGGUACACCGUUCCAGAAAAGUAAUCAGUGCCCGUUGUAAAAGUGUAUUUCCACUGUGGCCUUCCAUUAUGUUUGCACAAAAUGCUGUACGUGGUAAUGUCAGCGUACAGGGAAUAACAUCGAAAUUUGUGUCGAAUACUAGUUUCUAUAACCUCAAGAAACGGGAGAAAGCUAUAUUUCAGGGACCCUUGCGCUCUUGAUAUAUAUAUCAGUGAUGAUAUGAUAAAUAGUUGAACCCAAUCCUUUAAAUGGUGUUACCAACUUAUGAGCUGCAAAAAAUUGUUUUUUUUUUCUUAUGAAUUUUUAAGUUAAUUAACAUUAAAAAAAAAAGGCAAACAAAAAAAAAGCAGUUAUUAGCCUGAUCGUUAGUUGACACUGAUAAGGCUUUUUUGGUUUGCUUUUCUGUUUUGUUUAGGGGGGAAGUCCCCCCCCCUGACUUCUUCCUAAAUAGUGAUCCUUUAGCCUUACUGUUCAUUUUCUCAAUUCUUAAUUUUCGUUAACACUGCUGCAACGAGUGACAAAGAAAUUUAUGUUUUUAAAAUUUCCCGCCAUAUGUUUUUCUGCUAGCCCUUUCCCUCUUGAAGGCAAAAACAUGACGCAGCGCCCUCUGGAAAGGCUUAGGCAUGAGUAUUUCGUUUUGCUAGCGUAACCAGUGCUGUAGUUCGUUACUGGUAUAAGUGGUAGGUUGCUCAUCGAUUCAAUCGGACUGUGUUGUAGUGAACGUGUGCAACAAGUGCUCGACCUGUGCUCAUGUAAUAGCAUUUGGUGGAGCUGAGUUAUUACCUAAGCCUCAUAGCAGAGAGAUUUCGCGGCUUGUGAGCGAGCGAAGGCGAUCGAAAAUUAGCGGUCCAGGUUUUGCAUUCGCACUAGUCGUCCUGUGUCCUAACGAGUCAGCCAUUUCUAGGCCAGUCGACAACAUUCGGCUGCGGUGCUUGUGUACUGUAUGUCUGCGUGAAUUAGGGAUGCUGCGACAGGCGUCGUUAGAUUUCUACGUUCUGUGUCGUUAUUGAGCAUUCCCCGCCACGAAGGGGAAAUCUUCGUUAUCGUACCUGUUGUGUAUGGUGUGAUCGUACUAUAUUCGUGUGGUUUUUUCGUGUUCUUAACCGCAAUUUGAUACAACUGUUGGAGGUACUGUUAUUGCCAUUAUUCGCGCAGCAAAAGUAUUGAAAGCUGCCGUGGAAAUAGAAAUCAGAGUGGAAAAAGCUUGGCCGACUCACGCCGCCGAUCAUCAUGUCAUCAUACAGUAAUGUUCGCCGUAUUUACGUCGGCAAUCUGCCCUCGGACAUCCGUACCAAGGACAUUGAAGACAUUUUCUACAAGUACGGCAAGAUCACGUUGAUCGAUCUGAUGAACCGGCGUGGUCCACCGUUUGCCUUUGUCGAGUUUGAAGAUGCACGAGAUGCCGAGGACGCAGUUUCUGCUCGUGAUGGCUACGAUUAUGACGGGUACAAGCUGCGCGUGGAGUUUCCACGUGGGAAUUCAGCGCGACCUCGAGGAGGUCCUUCACGCGGCCGAGGACCACCUGCCCGCCGCAGCCAGUACAGAGUCAUCGUGUCAGUUUGUCGUGGCUCAUUCAGUGAUGAUUUGUGCCUGCAAAGAGGGACUGCCUUCGAUGCUCGGAGCUGUGCUAAGGGACUGCCAUGUCGAACAUACGCACAGGGGCCAUCUGAUGAUCAUCGAGGCUACCCCCAACCGGAUCGUGGCAGGAUCUUAAAGAUCACAUGCGUGAAGCGGGAGAUGUUUGCUACGCAGAUGUCUACAAAGACGGCACUGGAGUAGUCGAGUUCCUUCGUUACGAAGAUAUGAAGUACGCCGUGAAGAAGCUUGAUGAUAGCAGAUUCCGUUCGCAUGAAGGCGAGGUAUCAUACGUCCGUGUCCGUGAGGAUACCGGUCGUGAUUCGCGAUCCAGAUCACGCAGCCAUUCAC